CAUGAAAAAUUUGUUAUUUUAAAUUGUCAAAUAAUAAUUAUGUAUAUUUAUGGGGUAUAAUUUGAUGUUUUGAUCUGUGUUUACAUUGUACAAAGAUUCAAUCAAGUUAAUUUACGUAUCUAUCACCUUACCAAUUUAUCAAAUAUCCAAAGAAUAUAACACUCAGAAUUAAUUGGAUACUAUGUGAACAUGUAGUAUAACAUUUUUGCAAAUGUAUAGAUAUUGAAGCCUGCAUACAAUUUAUGUCUGAAUUCUGCCCAGACCUUAGUGGUACUCUAUAUGGGUACUCUAUAUGGGAUGUAUCCUUGCUAAAAUUUUGUUAACAUUAAUUUCUUAGAAACAACUUGUCUGCAACCACUUAUUUGAAUACCUCUAGAGUUACUUUAACAGCAAUAGGAGCCUUAUUCAAAACAGACCAAGAGAAAGACCCAAGGGAUCACAGAUUUUAGGUUUGUGAUUUCAAAUGGUCACAGUUGAUGGGCACCUAUUGCUUAUUCUUUGUUGACAUUUGCACAUCCAGUACAGUACAGUUAGCUGCUCUGAUCUUUUUUAUGCUUCACUUAACAGGUGGCUGUGUGCACCUAUUUGUGUCUCCUAACAGCUAACUCUGCUUCAGUUGCCUUCUCUUGGGGGCUGAGAUAUCAAAUUUCACUUUCCCCCAUAAAAGGGCCAGCUCUUAGGUGGGAGAUCUAAUCAAGAGGAGUUAAAACUCUUUUAUUCCCCCUUAGGCUCAGAGAAUCUGUCAGAAUUCUUAGAUGUAGACAACACAAACUCACUGAUUUAAACCUGUUCAUUGAAAUGACAAUGGGUUGCUUAUUCAUUACUGGGAGAGUUGGAGAGCCAGGCUCAGAGUUCCAGCAGCAGGGCACCAUACCCCAAAUCAUGCUACAGAGCACUCUAGUGUAGACACAAUUCCCCUGUCCAGGCUGGAUUCUAUGCUCUGCCACCAACACAGCAGACUGUCUGCUUCAGAUGCUGGAUGGACACAAAGCGCAGCUACUGUUGCCAUGGAAACGCGAUCUUACUGCAAGUGGCACUGCCUCUGGAGUGAGCCUCAGAGUUGCUGCUUCUUUGUGUCGCUAGCACCUGAUUUGAACCUCAGGGUGGGUGCUUCCAAUUGGUAGAUCCUAGAUCCUGUGCCAUAGCUGCCUGCAAAGGAGGCUGGGAAAGGUAGCAUCUGGCAGUUCAGCGUCUGCUGGAAAGUGGGCUCUGCCUUCCCUGAGGAGCCAUAAGAAAGGCAGCUCUCCACACAAGCAGGAGUUUUAGAGGGUAGGCAGCCAGAAGGAAUGACAGCUGUCUGUGAUGUGGACCAAACUGUCCACCUUUUGCCCCCACAAAGAGAAUUAAAAACCUU
rnacentral:lncRNA from 1 species